rnacentral:misc_RNA from 1 species
GGAGGAAGUAGAGGCGCAGUGCAGACGAAACACCUUUGUUUACAUGGGUGACGCACCACAACAAACACCUACCAGAUUUUUACACCAAAUACCAAGUUUUUUAAAAGGAGAGUUUCUCGUCUGGUGGUUCUGGAAUCAAUCGCCAGCUGGAGCCACAAGACAGAGGAAGAAGAUGGAGGACGGAUCAUGUCUACGACUAUCUGACUGCCCUGAAAAUUUCGGCUUGAGGCAUCGGAAGCUUCAAGGACCAACAACACAUCUCCAUGGCAAGUUCAGACUCGACCGUACAGACCCGUCCGGUCUCGUCUACGACUCCUUUAACGGAGAAACGCCGCCGACCCGCGAUGGGCGAGACCGACGUCGUCACUUCACGUCGUGUCGUCGGGCGUACAAGCCGAGUGUAUUAGAGGACUUGUAUUUAAGUGCCCUUGUACAGUAAUCCUAUAAAAGUGGUCAUUUAUGUAAAUAUUUGUGUGUCUAAAGUCACGUUCCAUUGGUGUCGGUGGUACGGGACCUCUCAAAACUAUGACCCAGAUUCACAUUUUCCAUCCCAUACCAAAUUUUGAAUGUGUGUUUAUUUAGUUUUUCUCUAGAGUACAGUACAGUAUAUUAAUAACUUGGAGGUUCGUUUUCAAAACAUAAUUUCAUUGUUUAUUUAUUAUGAUACUCUACAAAUACUGUGCUACUUUUUAUACUUGUAUGAUUCAGUUGAGUUAAUUAAACUUUUAUUUGCAUAGUUUUGAAGAAGACUACAGUACAUAGUUUAAAUGUUUACAUAUCAACAGUGCCGUACUUUAUCUUAAGUAAUAUUUUCAGGUACUUUCUCCAUCACUGCCUAAAGUGGACCUGAACUUUUGGACCUGAUGUGAACUAGAAUGAAGUUGGCUGGAUAUAAAGUUAACUGGACCUGCAGCGAAGUGGACCUGAAGCUAACUGGACCUCAAGUAGUCUGUGGAAGCUUCAAAGACCAACAACACAUCUCGGUAUGACAAGUUCAGACUCGACCGUACAGACCCGUCCGGUCUCGUAUACGACGCCGUUAACGGCACACGGAGAAACGCCGCCGACUCGUGGGAGGUACUUUCUCCAUCACUGCCUAAAGUGGACCUGAACUUUUGGACCUGAUGUGAACUAGAAUGAAGUUGGCUGGAUAUAAAGUUAACUGGACCUGCAGUGAAGUGGACCUGAAGUAGUCUGUGAAGAAGCCGCCUCGGGGAACGGCGGCAGUCGUCCGCAGAAGCGCGUGUAAUGAGACAAAAUCUCACAUGAAGAG